rnacentral:tRNA from 1 species
GGAUUGUGGCUCAGUGGUAGAGCUCUCAUCUAGCACGUGCGAGGCCCUGGGUUCAAUCCUCAGCACCA